ensembl:lncRNA
CAGGGACGGAGGUGCCUGUUUACCCGCGCCGGACUCACCGCCGCCGCCGCCGCGGGAUCUGAGUGGGGGCGCGGGCGCGGGAGCUCCCGCCGAGCCACGGUGGUGUUGGCUAGAGUGCAUGCUUUUGGACCCAACCUUGGCUUUUCAAAUGUGGAAUCCUAGGCCUUCACUGGUCCCGAUGUCGUAGGAAUAACGUGAAUAGCUACCCCGUGGAGCUUCCUGUGUGCCAGGUACUGUGUUAAGCGCUUCCCAUGCUACCACCCUGCAGGUUUUCAAGGUAUGGGUCUGGGAGAAGGCAGAUUCCAAGUACUUAACUCCCCAGUCUUCUAACUCACUUGUAGCCCCUCCUUGGGACCUUUCCAGGGAACCAUGGAGUCAGCCUGCUGUUUCUAACAGCGACAGGAACCAUGGAUGUCGCUGCCGAUGGCCACCCCGCUCUCUGCCUGGCCUUCGGGGUCCCACAGAAAGAUGGAAGGAACCUUCCAUAAGGGAGGCCCGAGAACCCUCCCUCCCGCUCUGACUGCUGUGCCAGCACCCCCUACAGAUGGACGUGGCACGUGGAUUCGGGGCGCGGGAGCUGAAUCCACGAUGUAUCAGAUCAUUUGAUAGAAAGCUCUUCCUGAUGUGUAGUUUUUCCUCUAAAGUUUUUCUUCUUUGCUUUUUCUAAAUGCUAAAAGCAACCAAUGCUCAUUUCAAAGCCAAGAUCAGAACUCUUUGCGCCUGGCUUGGAGUUCCAGCUCCAUCAACUUACUAGAUUUGUACCCUGGGAAAAACACGCACCCUCUCUGAGCCUUGAUUUCUUGUUGUGCUGGAGAGAUAAUAAUUUCACCUCGUGACAUUGCUGUGAGGACUGAGGGAGCUCGGUACCUGGAAUGCACUUCCAGAGGUUUGGCAUGGAUUCCUCUACUCAAUGAAUAUUUAUUAAGCACCUACUGAGGGCCAGUCACUGUUCUACUUGCUCUGGAAACACUCAGGAACAAGACAGAGAAGGCCUCUGCUCUCAUGAUGCUCACAUACUAAUCAGAGGAGACACAAAACAACCAGGUCGUUUCAGAAGUUAAGAAAUUAGAACUCACAGGUGGUGUGCAAGUGACAGGAACGGCCCCUUUCGAUUGGACGGCUGAGGAGAUGGCCUCUCUGAGGAGACAUAGCACUUUGUGACCUCUAGGUCCCAAGUUUCCCAAGACAUCCUGCUUUUAACAAUCCGUCUCCCAAGCAGAGGUCCCAGUUUCGAGUUUGGAGAAUCUGACUGAGUAGCCAUCAGUUCCCUUUUGAGUGGUCGUUGUUCACUAGCCGGCCCCCCAGCAGAGGCUGAGCUCCUGGGCCUGGAGAGCGCUCGCCGGGAGCCGUCGUUGAGUGGGGGGCCUUCGGGGUAGGAGGCGGUGAUUAGUUUCUAGCCAGAGCCCAUUUUGCUCCACGACUGCGUUGAGCUUUCUGGUUCCUAUGUCCGGAGCUGGAUGUUAAUUUCUCUUCUGGCGAGACUGUGGCCCUCUGCAGCCUCCUGAUUCUCUGCACAGUUCUUUAAGAGCUUGUUGAGGCCCGGCCAGAGCACUCCCAGUGCCUUCGUUGCCCAUUGAACCACAGAGCAGUCAGGCGACACCUGAUGCCAAGCGCAUCGCCCCUGCGAGGUACAGUAUGGACUUUAAAUGCCUUGCUGCAUCUGGCGACAGUGACCCAAACCGAUGAGCGAGGGAAGCCAGCGAGCAGAAGGGCGGGCUGCCUCUGACUCACCUGUCAUGUUCACAGCUGACCUACUUUGGUUUGACCUUGAUUUGCUCAGUGCAAUUAAAGACACUGUCGGGAAUGCACUUCUGCUGCCUGACUUAAGUCCAACAUGUGACAGCCCAGGAUCUCAUACACACACAUGACCCAGGCAGAUGGACGGACGGACAGGCAGUUAGGUUUCCACUUACCUCUGAAUUGUAAUUCGAUCACAAGGAAAGGGCUUAAUUUCAAGAACACGGAGCAAUUAUUUGAGGCUGGAUACGAUGCCAAGGCAGCAGGCUUUGAUUCUUUGCUACAGGGCAGCUUAAUCAGGAAAUGGCCUAGAUGGCCGCCUUUCAAGUAGGUCCUUGCAGUAGCCUGGCAACUGGCACGGGGUCGUAAUGGGAGAAUUUGGCUCUGCAUGUCUGUGGGUGUUUACAGGGCACUGCGGGGCACGGCUUCUUUUAUUUAUAGAAUGUUGUGAGCAACAAGCAGCAGAAGGCUGAAAAGCCACUCAAUCUCGAUUUAUUUUUAACAAAUUCCAUUUUUCCCCUCAUCCCAGAAAGAGAACUGAGUUAUUAAAAAACAGUAAAAAAUACAUCAUCGCAGAGCGUGCCAUAUCUAAUUAUGGGGUUGCCAGCAUCGGCCUGCAGCCACAUUUUAAGGGCUUUGUAAAUCAACCAUCCAUUCAAUCUGUGAACUUAUAUGACUCCUAUUCUUCAUUUAGAUGUAGAGCGAAAUUAUUGGCAAGUGAGAGCUGAUCAGAAAAAGUCCCACACUGUCUAAAUUAAGAGAUGAAAGGUAUAAAUAUAGAAUAUUGUACUUAUGUUCUCAAAGGGAGAUAAUAUCCCCCUUUGUUGUCCAUUAAACUUGGCCAUACAGCGUCCAUCCCAGACCACUGACUGUCCGCUUUGGGGUUUCUCACUCAUCACAGUGGUGGAUCUUAGCUGCUCGGAGGAGCUGUGUUGUCAUAUCUCGCUGAGCCCACCCUGAGGCUGUUUCCCACGUAGUCAUGAGAAGACAGCAGUGUGCUGCUGUGGGGCCUGUGUGCUCGUAGCGCGUUAGAGCUGGAGGAGUCUUCAGAGACCCUCUAGUUCAAGUACAUCUUACUAGAGAUGGGGAAGUGAGGCCUAGAGAGGAGGGACUUGCCCAGGGCCCCAUAGCAAGUGAUGACAGAGCUGGCCUGUGGCCACGGGCUCUGCGCUUUUCUCUGACAGCGCCCUGCUGUGCCAAGCUCUGAGCAGUGAAUUCAACAGAUCUGAUUUCUGCCCUUCAGGGUUCACAAUCUCAGACAGACAGACAUCAAGACAGUUGAAUAAUCCCCAUAUGCCUGAGUAGACCAAGGUUUGUGUGGGCAGCAAACCAGCUAGUUGAGUGGGGGCGAGAGGGAAGGCAGGGAAGCUUGGAAGCUGUGUAUUUUGAAACCAAGGCCCAGGUAAAAUCGGUUGCUCUCUGACCCGCUUGGGAAGGGCUUUACAGACGCUGGCAAGUUUCUAAUGGAAAAAGGUGCCACACGCUUGCCGAGUGUUGGGGGAGGGAAGGUAUUGUGCCAUGGUGGGUGCCAGUGGAGAUAAAUAUUGCAGCCUUGGGAGGAGCCCUGGGAAUGGAUCAUUGAGGAGGUUUCAUGGGAAUACCAAAGGGAGUGAAGGGCUGGGGCGCGGCGCAGGCCAGGGCUGUGUGGUCCUGAGUCCCGUGGAGUGCUCCACCCUCUCCUGGGAUGGUGUGUGGGCGGCAUGAGUGCUGCCCUUCCCGUCCUCUGGCCCCCAGGUAGAAAAGCAAUACCUGGUCAUGUGGUCUUUCUUCUAACCCUCAGAAUCUUCUUUGCACAGUAGUCUGGGCAGCCAGUAUCAAUGGACUAGAGCCGACAUGUGAGCUGGGACCUGUCUCUUUCUUGCCCUGGGCUAAUGCCUGGCGCUGUGCCUGGGCCAGAGUGGGCUCUGGGUGUUAGUUCUCUUUCUGAGGCUGGGAGCGGGCAGAGAGACCCAGGGAAAACUUUAUGGGGAAGGAUGGACUGUGCAAGCUUCUGGGGAAGUCAACUCUUGGCAAUGCUAGAAGGCAAGGGUUUUAGAAGACGUGAGUAGGCCAGGAGGGGGUGACCCAGGCCUAAAUUAAGGCCAUAGCAGUCAGCACAGAGUGGCCAAGAGGGAGAGGAGCGGUUACAGAGCAGGAAGAAGCAGUGGGAGUUAGCUACAGACAGCUGACCGGAGGGUGAAGGACAGUGAUGUUCUGGGCCGUGAACCUACAGCUGCCAAGGAGGCUCAUGGGGAGGGAGGGAUCAGGGCCGUGGCAGAUGCAGCAGCCUGGGAGCCCGCGUUGCUCAGGCUGGGGUCUUCGGAUUAUCGAGUACAUUCUCUCUGAGAAGAGAUGGUCCGUCUUCCUGCCCAGUGAGUUCCUGGCCACCCUGGACAGUGGUUCUCAAACAUGUUGCCAGGUGGCAAAGAAUGAAGUCAGUACAUAGCAUGUUCUCAGCAUCACCUCCAUAAAUUUUUUUUCUCAAUCUUUUGAUACCUACUGCUACUUACCUGCUUUUGAGUUCUGCGAGUUGAGACAUGUAAAUUAGCAGUAAUAAUUGCACAGGAAAUAGGUGAUGAGCUUAAGUUUGAGAAUUUUGUAUUUUUUCUUGGAUUUGUAUUGUAGUUUUAAUAUAGUCUAAGAAUGUUUUUAUUGAUAAAAUAGUUUCUAGUGUUAAAACGCUUUUUCAUUUUUAUAGUUUCUAAAGGCACUGAUUUUUCAUGAUGGGGGCACCUCCUGGGUCUCCACCUCUGAACCAGUUUUCAGGGAGCAGAUUCUCCUCUUUCUCUCACUUGUUUUCCUACCCCUGGCCCUUGCCCUGUGUCCCAGCCUCUUUUCCUGUGUGUGGCUCAGCCCAGGAGACCAGUGAACCCAGGUGAGGGGUGUGUGUCAGUAACUGGUUCGGUGGUAAAGAACAUUAAAAGCCUCACCUGAGAGGAGGUUGGGAAGUUGCCUGUGAGCUGGGAUGACCCGCAGACUUCCUGUCCCAGGCACUGCCCGGGGAGACAGCCGACCUGGCCACUUCAUAUUGCGUGCCCCCAGAUGACAGUGGCAUUAGUAAUUGAUGCUGUUUUAAAUUCUCCAGAGUAAGAAAAUGGUGUUGUUUGGUUACCACGGCCCUGUCAUCUCACACUUUCACUGAAUUACUGUGCCAGGCACCCAGUGGGCGUUCAAGAAAUGCUUUUGGUUCAUUGAGCUGUUGCUGGCCACAGCCACCUCUGCCACCACCACCAUACGGUGUUCUGAGAGCAUUAAGUGAAAGUCCUGAAGGUUGUGUAUGUUAAGUCUGGUCCAGAGUCCAUCCUGCUGCCUCUGGGCAGGUCAGCCGCACCCCGGCUAUCAGCACUUGUUGGCUCUUAUCAGAGAGACAGAGUGGUCCAGGGGGCAGGGGCAUGAGGCGUCACUUUCUCUGGCCACUGUGCUGCAGGAAAAUCCCAUCUGUACUCGUGAAGACAGGCAGGUCCCUGGCCCCCUCGGGCACCACACCCCAGGCAUCCUGCUUCCCCUUUACGGACAUGUAUGCCUGGUAGGAAAUCCUUUAUUCGAAUCCAAACCUGCUUCGUGGCGCUGUUUCCCCAGUGACCAGUUCUACCCUUGGUAGCCACGCAGAACAAAGGUGGGUGGGCGAGGCGGGAUUCACUUUCCAGGUCUGGAAGCCAUGCUCACGGGCCCCCUCCCUCCCUUUCCCCACCGGCUCAUCUCCUCCAGUGCCUUCAACCAUCCUUUCCAUGGUAUGGCUGUCGGUAUUAGUGUUCACAAGAGGUGGACGUGAAUCAAGCAUUUACCGUGUGCCAGGCACUGUGCCCAGCUCCCUACAUGCACUGUCUCGUUGACUUCUUGCAGCCGCCCUGUGAGGUGGGUAUUGCCAGCGUCCUCCUUGUACCAGUGAGGAGACUGAGGACACACGCCCAGUCUCGUCCGGAGUCGCACAUGGAGUGGCCCAGGGGAGGUUUGGAGCCCGCCGUCCGGCCCUGAGCCUUGCCUCCUGGCUGCGGGGCUGUCACAGCUCAGGGCCUCAGUGCCUAAAGCAAGCCCGUGGCACACUAGACCGGGGCUGGCCCCACCUUCACUUGUUUUGCAAGAAAUCCUGAGUUGAACCGUGUUCUCUGAAGCCUCCUCAGUUGGUUUUGACAGAGCAGACUGCCGGUCUGGCCUUGCACCGGCGCCCACACACGGGCUCGUCCCAGCUCUGCCGGGCCGGCAGGCCUUGUGGAGCCUUGGGUUUGGGUCAGGGUGACAGAGGUGGCUGUUAGUCUUUUCCUUUCCUGACCACGAAGUCUGAUGCAGUAGGUUUCUUGUCAAAGGCUUCGUCGUGGCUUUGUGGCCAGCAGGCAGAGGGAGGAAGGUGCCUGGGAACUGCAAGGCGGACACCUCUUCAAGUGCCUACGCCGUAUUUGGUCCACAGCACAGCCCCAGCGCCCACAG